rnacentral:rRNA from 7 species
CUGCGGAGGAUCAUUAUUGA